UCGCUGGCGAAGCAUGUGCACGUCCAACCUUUUCUAUUACACACCCGUGCACCUUUUGUAGGUCCUCGAAAGAGGAUCUAUGUAUUUCAUCAUCACACCUAUCGUAUGUCUAGAAUGUCAUCGUCGACCACUGGGCGGCGAAAUAAAUAAUACAACUUUCAGCAACGGAUCUCUUGGCUCUCGCAUCGAUGAAGAACGCAGCGAAUUGCGAUAAGUAAUGUGAAUUGCAGAUUUUCAGUGAAUCAUCGAAUCUUUGAACGCACCUUGCGCUCCUUGGUAUUCCGAGGAGCAUGCCUGUUUGAGUGUCAUUAAAUUCUCAACCAUGACUUUGUUGACAUGGCUUGGAGUUGGGGGUUGCUGGCUUGUUUGUCAGCUCUCCUGAAAUACAUUAGCGGUGGACAAGCAAGGCCUUCCGACGUGAUAAUGAUCGUCGUGGGGCGGAGCAUCAACGUCUGUCUGCUUCUAAAUCCCAGAUGCCUUAGCUAGACAUCAUUUCGAACGCUUGACCUCAAAUCAGGUAGGACUACCCGCUGAACUUAAGCAUA
rnacentral:rRNA from 1 species